rnacentral:rRNA from 2 species
UAGUGGCGAACGGGUGAGUAACACGUGGGCAAUCUGCCCUUCACUCUGGGACAAGCCCUGGAAACGGGGUCUAAUACCGGAUAACACCUGCCCGGGCAUCCGGGUGGGUUAAAAGCUCCGGCGGUGAAGGAUGAGCCCGCGGCCUAUCAGCUUGUUGGUGAGGUAGUGGCUCACCAAGGCGACGACGGGUAGCCGGCCUGAGAGGGCGACCGGCCACACUGGGACUGAGACACGGCCCAGACUCCUACGGGAGGCAGCAGUGGGGAAUAUUGCACAAUGGGCGAAAGCCUGAUGCAGCGACGCCGCGUGAGGGAUGACGGCCUUCGGGUUGUAAACCUCUUUCAGCAGGGAAGAAGCGAAAGUGACGGUACCUGCAGAAGAAGCGCCGGCUAACUACGUGCCAGCAGCCGCGGUAAUACGUAGGGCGCAAGCGUUGUCCGGAAUUAUUGGGCGUAAAGAGCUCGUAGGCGGCUUGUCACGUCGGGUGUGAAAGCCCGGGGCUUAACCCCCGGGUCUGCAUUCGAUACGGGCUAGCUAGAGUGUGGUAGGGGAGAUCGGAAUUCCU